CUGGCAGUGACUGUGAUGACUGGGAGUGGGGGCUUCAGCCAGCCCCCUCUGUAGGCUGCUGGCCACCCCUUGUUGGCACAAUGGUCCCAAGCCUGGCCUGGGUCGGGGGAUCAGGAAGGAUGGGGCAAGUGUGUAUGUGUUCAGAAUUAUGGUCGGGAUUAGACCAGGAAAGAAGAAGGAGUGGAGAAUAUGAGGAGUCAGAGCUGUGAUGUCACCCAGAAAAUUCCUGGGAGGACAAGAUGUUUGUGAAGCUUGCUAAGAACCACAGACCCUGGUCACACUCCCAUCACCUCAUCCGCUUCGCCUGAGACAAAAACUCAUGGUUAGUGUCAGGGACUUUCAAUUUCCCAUGAAAGGGACCUUUCCGAG